rnacentral:rRNA from 1 species
GGUUUUACUGAUUCCUCCCUCUUGAAGAACUGUAAUGCCAUUAAUUUGGUGUUGCAGGGAAUCAGGACUGUUACUUUGAAAAAAUUAGAGUGUUUAAAGCAGGCUUUAGCUUGAAUACAUUAGCAUGGAAUAAUGAAAUAGGACGUUUGAUCCUAUUUUGUUGGUUUCUAGGAUUGACGUAAUGAUUAAU